CUAGGCUUUCUCCGGACCUGAAGAGCAAUGGUGCUGAGGAGGGCAGAGGAGCGUAGGCCUGGCUGCGGCCGGAGUGUCAGUUCUCUAAGUCCUUUAAGCACGCAUUGGAUGGAGAGUACUGCUUCAUCAUAGCAUGCCAGGCUCCCUUGCAGCUGACUCAGGAGUUGGGAGGUGGUGUACGUGGAUCCUACAGCGAGAGCCUGGGGAUGGUGAAGACAUCGCCAAGCAGAAUUCCCAUGAACCUCGACUCUCAAGACACAGCUUGCCUUGCUGAGUCAUGAGGACUUCUUUUAACCACCUGGGGGACUUGGAGAACAAGUGCAGAAAGUAACCAUAUGAUGCUGGGACAGCAUGAACUCCACUCUGAUCACGAGCCUAGGCACCUGAUGUGGCCCUGGCAGAGUCAUCCUGCAUGUUCUGAAUGUUCUGCUGUCUGGUAAGGAGCUUUCUUCUGCGAGCCCCACUACCUUUCCUACUCCUCAGUGUUGCCAGGAGUCAUUGGCUUCUCUCCAUCCAUGACUACUUAUAUUUUUCCUUCCAAACAUCCCACUGGAGGUAAAUGAGGGAAGCCUUUCCAGAUCCUUCAGGUGGAAUGGAACUGUGUUCACAGUUAAAACACAACCAAAGCCAACAAACAAAUAAGAACAAAUCGGGCUGGGGAUAUAGCUCAGUGGUACCACUCCUGCCUGGCAAGCACAGGCCCCGAGUUCAGUCCCUGGUACCAGAAAAAAAGACAAAGCAAAAAAUUUUGGGGGCUGGGCAUGUAGCUCCGUGGCAUAGUGCCUGCCUGGCAAGUUCCAUCACCGGUCCCCAAACAACAACAACAAAAAAACCAAAUCAAACCAAAGACCAAAUCAAUAACAAAAGCAAAAGGCAUCAGCUUUCAGCUACUAGUCAAGAUCACAGCUGCAAAAGAUUUGGGUUGGAUGGAAGAGAAAGACUGUAAAGUUUCUUGUGGGACUCAGUCAUAGAGACUGUAGGGUUUUUAAGACAUGAGAAAAAUGAUCAGAAAUAGGGAAGAUUGGGCAUGGGGAGCAGAGUCUGAACCUACACUGUUGCCUCUGUAGACUGAAGACUGGAGCACCCACUAAAGUGGAUGGGACUCCCAGUGGCUGCUCUGGACACAAAUUCCCAUGCAUGUGCAUCUGGGUAAUGGCCUCAAGGAGACAACAGGUAAACCAUUCCAUGGGCUAAUGUGGGGCUGACUCUAUCUGACAGCAAGGGACAGAAGCAAGAGCAAGUCUCAGGUCAGCAGGACCUGGGCACUGUGUUCUGGGCAGGAGAGCAAACAUGCCUAACCUGGCUGAGAAGGUGAGAAGAGUGACUUAUUCUGGAAGUACCGCAACGUGUGGUGGUUGGGUGAUCAAACCAUGGAAAAUGGGUUCCAAAUCUGACUUGUUUUGUGUUCUAGGAUAAAAAAUUACUUGCUUUGAAAUCUGU
rnacentral:lncRNA from 1 species